rnacentral:lncRNA from 1 species
CUUCUAACUGCCUUGAAUGUGGGUUCACCUGCGCCAUGCCUUUGUCCAUGCACCGCCAAUCAAUUCAUUCUCACACCAUUUUUUCAUUUUGCUGCCUUGCACCGGAUUCCAUGAAAUGCAUCCUCCCAAGCACAUUUCAGUCAUGGCAACAACAUGGGAGCAAGGCAUUGCCCAUGCCUUAGCCGUUUCAGCAAGUUACAACCAUCAAGGGGUUAAUAACCACCCCCAACAAACGAGUCCAGUGCCUCGUUGGAUUAACAUUCAAAUGCUUUUCAUUUUGUUAAAUAGGCCCAUCUCUUUCCGUCGUAGCAUCAUCCUCGCUACUGCCUUUUAUAUGAAUACCAUUCAGCAGUAAAGAUGUGAAAUCCAUCACAUAAUCCCGAACAGAACCUGUCUGUUUCAGAGUUUGGAGUGCUUCCCUUACAAUAAGGAACUCAUCCUUCAAUUCCUUCGACGGCGCUUCCCAUGCAGUAAUCCAAGGUCAACCACACUUUCAUUGUCCCACAACUGAUGAAUGAUGUAUUAAUUCAUUGAGCUCAUUUCUAAAUGAAGUUGAUACAUUUUAACAUACUUCAAAUGCAGUUGAAAGGGUUCGAUUAUGAAAGUGGUUGGCUCUUUUCUGGAUGGAAAAUCAAGAUUCGUAUUUGCUAGAGAUAUUAAUUUACUGCCUCCAUUCUCAGCACUGAUUACCACAAAGUAAUCAUGGUGUGCUUACAGUCUGAUCCCAUCCUCAACGAAAUCACCAGCAUGUUUGGUGGACUCAGAAAAUGGCUCAGUUACAUUUUGCACUCUUUGAAUAAGUCAAAGGUAAGAUGAAGUCUGUCGAAAAGAUUUGGCAAAAUAACCAUUUGCACUGCAGUCUGUCCAAAAGAUAUCCCUAGAUUUCAAGCUAGCUAUGAUAAGGCCAGAGACUCAAGUCAAAAAUUCUUUCCAAGGCAUCUUAGACAAAUAAUUCGACUAGAUUCCCUCGGGUAGUUUUGUUUCAAUUUACUAUAGAGUUGUAUGGUGUUCUACAUUUUUACAAAGGUUUCUGCAAUUGUUCAUACAUAGAGUUGGCCGAAAAGAUUUUUUCGGCAUUAAGUAGAAAGUUAAAGAAAUACAUCUUCCCUAGAUUCAUAGCAUCGAAUAAUAUGAUGAAUAAGAUUUAAAAUUUGAUAGGCAUAUUUGGCAGAUAACAUUGAAUAAUAUCAGGAAUAAGAUUUUAAUUCUUUAUUUUCUUUUAAUUUUU